AACGAACGCUGGCGGCAGGCUUAACACAUGCAAGUCGAACGCUCCGCAAGGAGAGUGGCAGACGGGUGAGUAACGCGUGGGAACGUGCCUUUUGGUUCGGAAACAACUUCGGGAAAACUGGAGCUAAUACCGAAUGUGCCCUUCGGGGGAAAGGAUUUAUCGCCAAAAGAUCGGCCCGCGUCAGAUUAGCUAGUUGGUGGGGUAAUGGCCUACCAAGGCGACGAUCUGUAGCUGGUCUGAGAGGAUGAUCAGCCACACUGGGACUGAGACACGGCCCAGACUCCUACGGGAGGCAGCAGUGGGGAAUCUUGGACAAUGGGCGCAAGCCUGAUCCAGCCAUGCCGCGUGAAUGAUGAAGGCUUAGGUGUAAA
rnacentral:rRNA from 1 species